GACGAACGCUGGCGGCGUGCCUAAUACAUGCAAGUAGAACGCUGAAGGAGGAGCUUGCUUCUCCGGAUGAGUUGCGAACGGGUGAGUAACGCGUGGGUAACCUGCCUGGUAGCGGGGGAUAACUAUUGGAAACGAUAGCUAAUACCGCAUAAGAGUAGAUGUUGCAUGACAUUUGCUUAAAAGGUGCAAUUGCAUCACUACCAGAUGGACCUGCGUUGUAUUAGCUAGUUGGUGAGGUAACGGCUCACCAAGGCGACGAUACAUAGCCGACCUGAGAGGGUGAUCGGCCACACUGGGACUGAGACACGGCCCAGACUCCUACGGGAGGCAGCAGUAGGGAAUCUUCGGCAAUGGACGGAAGUCUGACCGAGCAACGCCGCGUGAGUGAAGAAGGUUUUCGGAUCGUAAAGCUCUGUUGUAAGAGAAGAACGAGUGUGAGAGUGGAAAGUUCACACUGUGACGGUAUCUUACCAGAAAGGGACGGCUAACUACGUGC
rnacentral:rRNA from 1 species